rnacentral:rRNA from 1 species
UUGACUGCUAGAGCAUGGAUUUCAGGGAAAGUUUUUUUAAAUUUAAUAAUUAAAGUUAUUUUAAUUUGUGAAGAAACAAUUAUAUAAAUUAAGGACAAGAAGACCCUAAGAAUUUAAGAAUUCUUAUGUUACUUAAAUAUAAAAUAGGAAUUCUUAGUUGGGGCAACUAAAAAACAUUAUAAACUUUUUUUCUUUAAAAUGACCCAUUAUUAAUGAUAAUAUGAUUAAAUACUCUAGGGA